rnacentral:lncRNA from 1 species
GUUGAAGAGUUGGAUCAUCCAUUUACCCUUGCAAUUUAUUAGAGUCAUGCUUUCUACUUAAUUUUUUGCCUAUUUUUUUGUUUUUGGCUAUGAUUUCUGAGACAUACAAACUAAUUUUGUUCAGCCGUACCGUAUGAAGAAGUGCAGAAGUUGUUUGGAUUUAAUUUCAGGUAGUCAAAUUUAAUUUUGAUUAUGAAGAUACCUUUUGUUUUA